GGUAAGGUGAUAUGAACCGUUAUAACCGGCGAUACCCGAAUGGGGAAACCCAGUGUGACUCGUCACACUAUCAUUAACUGAAUCCAUAGGUUAAUGAGGCGAACCGGGGGAACUGAAACAUCUAAGUACCCCGAGGAAAAGAAAUCAACCGAGAUUCCCCCAGUAGCGGCGAGCGAACGGGGAGGAGCCCAGAGCCUGAAUCAGCAUGUGUGUUAGUGGAAGCGUCUGGAAAGGCGCGCGAUACAGGGUGACAGCCCCGUACACAAAAGCGCAUGUGCUGUGAGCUCGAUGAGUAGGGCGGGACACGUGGUAUCCUGUCUGAAUAUGGGGGGACCAUCCUCCAAGGCUAAAUACUCCUGACUGACCGAUAGUGAACCAGUACCGUGAGGGAAAGGCGAAAAGAACCCCGGCGAGGGGAGUGAAAAAGAACCUGAAACCGUGUACGUACAAGCAGUGGGAGCACCCUUUGGGUGUGACUGCGUACCUUUUGUAUAAUGGGUCAGCGACUUAUAUUCUGUAGCAAGGUUAACCGAAUAGGGGAGCCGGAGGGAAACCGAGUCUUAAC
rnacentral:rRNA from 1 species